rnacentral:rRNA from 1 species
UACGGAGGGGGCAAGCGUUAUUCGGAAUUAUUGGGCGUAAAGGGCGCGUAGGCGGCUAGAUGUGUCAAAGGUGAAAUCCCUCGGCUCAACUGAGGAACUGCCUUUGAAACUGUCUGGCUUGAGGCCGGGAGAGGGUAGCGGAAUUCCCAGUGUAGCGGUGAAAUGCGCAGAUAUCAGGAGGAACACCGGUGGCGAAGGCGGCAUUCUGGACCAUAACUGACACUGAGAGACGAAAGCCAGGGGAGCAAACGGG